GACGUAGGGCGCGAGCGUUGUCCGGAUUUAUUGGGCGUAAAGAGCUCGUAGGCGGCUUGUCGCGUCGACUGUGAAAACCCGUGGCUCAACCAUGUGGUCUGCAGUCGAUACGGGCAGGCUAGAAUUCGGUAGGGGAGACUGGAAUUCCUGGUGUAGCGGUGAAAUGCGCAGAUAUCAGGAGGAACACCGGUGGCGAAGGCGGGUCUCUGGGCCGAUAUUGACGCUGAGGAGCGAAAGCGUGGGGAGCGAACAG
rnacentral:rRNA from 1 species